rnacentral:rRNA from 1 species
UGCCUGCCCAGUGACACUGUUAAACGGCCGCGGUAUCCUAACCGUGCAAAGGUAGCGUAAUCAAUUGUCUUUUAAAUAAAGACUAGAAUGAAUGGCCAAACGAGGCUCUACCUGUCUCUUACAAAUAAUCAGUGAAAUUGAUCUUCCUGUGCAAAAGCAGGAAUAACCUUAUAAGACGAGAAGACCCUGUGGAACUUCAAAUACAAAAUCAACUUAUACUAACACCAACCUAACCAGGACUAUACAAAAUAAUAUUUGAUUUUUAUUUUCGGUUGGGGCGACCUCGGAGUAAAACAAAACCUCCGAAAAUAAAGAAACUCCUUAAACCUAGAGCUACAGUUCAAAGUGCUUCCGGCAAAACGAUCCAAUACACUUGAUCAACGAACCAAGCUACCCCAGGGAUAACAGCGCAAUCCCAUUCUAGAGUUCCUAUCGACAAUGGGGUUUACGACCUCGAUGUUGGAUCAGGACAUCCUGAUGGUGUAUCCGCUAUCAAGGGUUCGUUUGUUCAACGAUUAAUAGUCCUA